GAUGAAGAACGUAGCGAAAUGCGAUACGUAGUGUGAAUUGCAGAAUUCAGUGAAUCAUCGAAUCUUUGAACGCACAUUGCACCUCUCGGUAUUCCGGGAGGUAUGCCUGUUCGAGCGUCAUUUGUACCCUCAAGCUCUGCUUGGUGUUGGGUGUUUGUUCCGCCUCUGUGUGUGAACUCGCCUCAAAACAAUUGGCAGCCGGCGUACUUGUUUCGGAGCGCAGCACAUUUUGCGAUCCAGAUCAACGUACAGCGGCAUCCAAGAAGCCUUAUUUAACGCUCUUGACCUCGGAUCAGGUAGGGAUACCCGCUGAACUUAAGCAUAUCAAUAAGCCGGAGGA
rnacentral:misc_RNA from 1 species